rnacentral:pre_miRNA from 1 species
CAUAUACUCCCUCCGUUCCUAAAUAUAAGACCUUGUAAAGAUUGCACUAUGGACUACAUACGAAUGUAUAUAGACAUAUUUUAAUGUAUAGAUUCAUUCAUUUUGCUCCGUAUGUAGUCUAUAGUGAAAUCUUUACAAGGUCUUAUAUUUAGGAACGGAGGGAGUAUCAU